AAGCCGCUAAAAAGUCCUAUAAUGAGGAUUGCAAAAGUUUUAAAUAUCAGAAACUGAAGAAGGAAUUGAUAAUUAGCAGAUAACAAAAAAGCGCAAAAGUACUGAUUAUACAACUCUUUUAAAGUUGAGGAAGAAUUUUAUGUGGAAUGUUAAUGCAAAAGGUACAAAUAUUGACAGUUAAACCAUCACCACCUCCACAGCCACCUUAUCUCAAGCAUUCAAUUGCAUUCUAAGUUAUCUUUAUUCAAAUCAAGUGUGACUACUAUACCAAAAGACUGUAGAAUGGGCCAAUCAAGUAAGAUGUCAAAAUUUAUAUCUUUUAUAUAGAACUC